UUUAGCAUGAAAUACACACAUAAAAAAAAUAGUUGUCCACCCCCGUUUAAAACACAAAUAACUCGUGUUUAAUAUUACAAUAAUAUCCAGACAAUUUAGCGAGUCCAGAUCUUAAAGCUGCGUAAAUGAUGGGGACCCUACAAACGUUAGAGAAUAUUAACAGUUAUACGAUAUACAUUAAAACGCUAAUAUUAUCUAACAGUUAUACGAAAUAUAUACACUUUAACUUAUAUGUGCAUUUAGCAUGAAAUACAUACCUAAAAGAAAUCGUUGUCCACCCCCGUUUAAAACACAAAUAACUCGUGUUUAAUAUUACAAUAAUAUCACAAUAAUAUUCAAACAAAUCUUAAAAUAUAUUUUUCACUUACUCACCUCCAGAAAUAUCCAUGAGGAGGGCUUCACAGACUAUCCUUUGUUAUCUGUCCUGGUACUGCUGCCAGGUGUUUGGAGUUAGGGUAAGGCCGUUAGUACAAAAAACGUAGAAUAGCAUCUGUUUCAACGGCUCUUCCGAAGUCGUUCAGAGUGCACACUUUUUGUUUUUUAAUAUCUAAAUAUUAGUGGGUAUGUGGUUAUUUUGACUUACACCGACAAUUGUGUGAUGGUGAAGGGCUACGUAAAGGACAGGGCGCAGUUUGCUUCUGAGAAUCCCUGUCUAACAGUCGCUUACCAAUCACCAGUCCAGUAGCCUUCAGAAAAAUCCAUUAGGAGGGAUUCACAGACUCUUUUUUUUAAUCGGUCCUGGCAGCUAAAUAUUCGGGGCUGUUGGCCUGUGGGUUUGCACUAAAGCUGUGCUAACAUGGUGUUAAAGUAUAUGCUCCACUAGACUCGCUCUGCGUUCGUGUCCCUAACUAGAGAAUGUACGGAAUGAGUUUACAGGGCCGUGGUGGCAUUUUCUCGGGAGAUGUCAUGUUUGCAACAGCCUGUAUAUUUGGUUUAGAGAACAAAGGCAGUGAAUUCAAACAACAGGAGGGGAUGUCGAGACAUUUUGUCUACAACCGAUCCCCUACAGAGAUAAAGUGCAGAUGCCUCAAGGCAAGGUUUUAAUUCAACAUUUUUACCCCCACACACACUCCUACUGGUCCGUCACACGCACACUCAAGCACGCACCCUGAUUUUCCGUGUCUUUUUUUUCUUCACGACAGACCGGGGUGAUGAUGUAAAAUACAUUUCCCUAUCAUUAAAGGGUGAGAUACAGUUUUAAAUUCCUUUUAACUUUUUUAAGACAUGUUAGAAUUAAUUACCAAAUUUGACUAAUAUUUAAACAUGCAUCACGAGUGUUUUAUGUAAAAACAUUGGAGGCCUACAGUUGUACAUCAUUACAAACUUUAAUAACCAGUAAUGUUUCUAACAUAACAUUGUAGGAAAGACUACAAAUAAUACAUUAUUUUUUAUAAGACCAGGGCGUGAGAGAAAAGACAGUUUCUCCUUUCGUUAAAGGGUGAGAAACAUUUUUAAAACCAAUGACUUAAUUCAAAAUAUUUAGUACAUACAUUUUAACACACGUUAUAAUUCAACAUGUUUACUAUUUGUUACAGAUAAAGGGGCUGGUUAGCCCUGACCAUUAUCCGUUUCCAAUUCACCAUUGCAAAGACGCUUGCCCGCUCCAUCGAAGCUCCGGACGUUUUCACUCCAGAGAAAGAUCCUCCUUCUGGUUUGUGAGUCCUGGGUAUGUCUCAACGAUAACCUCGGCCAUCGCCGUAAUUGUUCACGAUUUUGGAAAAGACUGUCCAGCUUAUUCAUCAGUGUUCUGAAAAUAUGAUCAUCGCCCCAUUUAAAACUGAACACUGGCAUAAAAAAGUUGACCUCCUUGCAUGCUUUGGAAAAUACAUGUGAACUGACAGAUUUCAAGCAUGUUCACAUGCUAAAAUUGUCACUUUGGAGUCAGGGGUAUACGCCAUUGAAGCAAUUCCUAGGGCCAUCAGAUCACUUCGUCCACAGACCAGUUCUUCCAACGCAUAUCUGGGUAAACUUGAAGCGCUCAGGGCCUGUUCAAUUUAACACAGCGUGAGUCUUAUCUUAAGCCAUUCUCUCAUCCUUAGCGCUGGAGAAAAACUCCCGGGUUCUGCCCGAUAAAGGGGUUUGGGACCGCUGUCUGUGAAUAUCUUAACCGUAGAUUCCUCAGGUUGGAAUAUGUAAGACAUAUGUCCCUCACUCGUACCCAAAACUCCUUUAAAACAUUCUGGGGCUUCACACAAAACAUCCUCCAGGCUUUUGUCAUUGGGUUCAUGACAUGAGCCGCAUAGCACCCCGAGAAUUGGCCUAGGAGACAUAUUUUUAUGUUUAACAUUCUGGGCUUUAUUUUAAAAAUCUUGUUUACUGUUCUGGGGUCACAUGCCUUGUUCUGGACUUUUAUUUAUAAUGUGUCUGCCACAGCCAAUAACCCAGACAUUCCUGCUUAAUAGAUAGCAACCAUAAGGGCAAUAAAACUGGGGGUGUGGGGCCAUACUCUUUCAAAAGUUAAAACACAGAACCCCCCCAGUUCAACCAGGUCCCUAGACAUCAAUCAGCAUGACAACUUCAAAAGAAUAGAUGCAAUAUAGAUAUAAAAUAACACACCCUCUAACACGCGACAACAGGAACAGGAUGUCCUGGCCGGAGGCCCAUAUUUGCACAUGUGCACGUCAUCUGGACACAGGGCCAUAAAUCAAAAUGUUGACCCGUGCCGUCUACUUUAUUCUCUUAUUCUCUCUAUCCUCCACAAACACAGUAACAGACAGAGUCACAAUCACACAGGUAUCCAUAACAUCAAUGUGUUAGUCUUACAGUCAAUACGUCACAAACUCAUUGCUAUAACACAAUGUGAACGAAUAGCAGAACUUCCAGUAAUUUGAAAUAAAUAAGCAAUACAUUAGUAGUAAUCUGUCAUCAUGUCUGUAGGAUUAUGAAUCAGAGACUUCUAUUACAGUAAUGUUGAAGGGUUCUGGGUAGUAUAAGUAAUGUUGAAGGGCCCUGGGUAGUAUAAGUAAUGUUGAAGGGCUCUGGGUAGUAUAAGUAAUGUUGAAGGGCUCUGGUAGUAUAAGUAAUGUUGAAGGGCUCUGGGUAGUAUAAGUAAUGUUGAAGUGCUCUGGGUAGUAUAAGUAAUGUUGAAGGGCUCUGGGUAGUACAAGUAAGGUUGAAGGGCUCUGGGUAGUGUAAGUCAUGUUGAAGGGGUCUGGGUAGUACAAGUAAGGUUGACGGGCUCUGGGUAGUAUAAGUAAUGUUGAAGUGCUCUGGGUAGUGUGAGUAAUGUUGAAGGGCUCUGGGUAGAACAGGUAAGGUUGAAGGGCUAUGGGUAGUGUAAGUAAUGUUGAAGGGCUCUGGGUAGUACAAGUAAGGUUGAAGGGCUCUGGGUAGUACAAGUAAGGUUGAAGGGCUCUGGGUAGUAUAUGUAAUGUUGAAGUGCUCUGGGUAGUAUAAGUAAUGUUGAAGGGCUCUGGGUAGUAUUAGUAAGGUUGAAGGGCUCUGGGUAGUAUAAGUAAUGUUGAAGGGUUAUGGGUAGUAUAUGUAAUGUUGAAGGACUCUGGGUAGUAAAGGUAAUGUUGAAGGGCUCUGGGUAGUAUAAGUAAUGUUGAAGGGCUCUGGGUAGUAUAAGUAAUGUUGAAGGGCUCUGGGUAGUAAAGGUAAUGUUGAAGGGCUCUGGGUAAUAUAAGUAAUGUUGAAGGGCUCUGGGUAGUAUAAGUAAUGUUGAAGGGCUCUGGGUAGUAUAAGUAAUGUUGAAGGGCUCUUGCUAGUAUAAGUAAUGUUGAAGGGCUCUGGGUAGUAUAAGUAAUGUUGAAGGGCUCUGGGUAGUAUAAGUAAUGUUGACGGGCUCUGGGUAGUAUCAGUAAUGUUGACGGGCUCUGGGUAGUAUAAGUAAUGUUGAAGGGCUCUGGGUAGUAUACGUAAUGUUGAAGGGCUCUGGGUAUUAUUACUUAGCCAGCUAGAAGGAUGAAGUAAGACGGUAACGUUAAAAGGAGCCCACCUCAACAGGAGCAACAAAUAGGCUACUAAGCUCUCAUAAUAACUUUGCUUUACAAAGAUUAGGCUACUGAGACAGACAGUGAUGUGGCACUCAGUGGUGAGGCUGAUGGAGGCUGCAAUGCAUGCAGGAGGAAGCAGAGGAAACAGAGAGAGAGAGGAAGCAAGGUGGAGAGAGGUUAAUACAGUGGUUCCUAAACUUAGGGUUGGGGUCCCAUGUGGGGUCCCCAGACUAAAUCUGUAUCAAAGAAGUUAGGAACUAAAAGAAAAGAAGAUGUGUUUAAAUAUGAACAUAUUCACAUGGCCUAUCUUCCCUGUAGGCCUACAUUUAAAUGCACUCAAAAUGCUAACAAUGCAGGUGUAAAAUAGUUACAUUUCCUUUAUAUCACUGGUUGUUCUUCUUAUCUCGAUCACCACAGAGUUUAUAGUUUACUUAUUACACAUAUUUUUUUAACCACAACAUCACUGAUAUUAAUACAGAAUCCUUAGUAAUAUUCAAAUCAUUCAAGUGAAUGAGACAACAUGAUCAUCUGUGUGCUCCAUUGAUAUCUGUUUGUGCGGAGCUUGAUUAGUAAUGCCUAGUAAUACAAAUGUGAACGCAAUGUCAUUUGAGAAAAGCCAUAUCUAUGUAAAGAGAUGAUGAAUUACACAUUUCAAUACUACAACUGACUGAACAGUCACUGACGCUACUUCUCAGUGUAACUCAUUUCUCAUAUUUCUCCCCUUUCCGGGGUAUAACAUGAAUGUUGUAUAGCUAUUAGGCUGUGUGUUUGUAGAUCAACUGAGGUGAAAGAACCUACAGCAGCCAAGGUGAGAAAGGCUGGGGUAACUUUUGCUUGUUUUUGCUGUUCUCCAAAAACCAUUGAAAAGUUGUUUUUAUUAUAUUGAAAUUCAAUGAGAUGCCAAUGAAUGUUUUAACUAACCUGUUCUGAAGGCUGGAACAAGUUUGAAUCCUGUUGGUACUUCGUCUCUUCUGAGAGAAAAACCUGGAGUGAGAGCAGACAGGACUGUGUGGAGAGAGGAGCUGACCUGGUGAUUGUAAACAGCAGAGAGAAACAGAGAUUUCUAUUUGCCCUUAACAAGAGAGCCUGGAUCGGUCUGACUGACAGAGAGACUGAGGGGUCCUGGAAAUGGGUUGACGGCACACCACUGAUAACAAGUUACUGGACAUUCAAGCAGCCUGAUAAUGGACGAAGUGUUUCAACCUUUCCGGCGGAGGACUGUGUUGAAUUACACAAUAUACAAGACCAGCCUGAAAAGACAUGGAAUGAUUUAAAUUGUGCAGAAAAACAUAUCUGUAUUUGUGAGUUGUGUAACAAACAAUAACCUCCUGUAACAACCCAUCCACCAUCUCCCCUUUCAUUCUGUCUCCAUCCCUACUCGUUUGUUUGUUUCGUUCUGAACAUAUGAAUCAAAUUACCAUUUACUUCCUGGGAUGCAUUAGUAGCUUCCUGUCUUCAGUAGUUACAUGAUGGACACAUCAGACACAGACAAUGAUUGAGACACAACAACACUAAAAGUAAACAGCUGCAUUAGAACAGAUAGAAGGGACCAGUAUGAGGUUGUAAAGUCAGUACAGUCGACUGCUGAUAGGUGCACAUCAGAUAAGUGCAAGACCUGGGUUCAAAUACAACUUGAAAUCUUUCAAAACCUUUGAGUGUUUGCUUUAGCCUGCCUUCAGAGCCAGGUGGGUACUGGGGCUUUUCUGUUGCAACAGAAGUAUUUUACAUAGUUCAUACAGAGAGUCAUUCUGGCAGUUCUCCUUAGACACUGGAUCCAGUGGGGUGAAUUCAUGAUUUUUCUCUGUGCUCAUUUCUAUAAUGUUGAUGCCUUGAUUUAUUGGGUCUCGUCGUCUCCGGAUUCACAGACACCCAAAUAUACCCUAUGUAUAUUUUGAAAUGGCCUAUUGAUUAACGAAACAAUUAUUUUGUGCUAUAUUUUGCCAUUUUCCCUGGAACAAGUUAUUAUACAUUGUGUCUCAAUGGGCCACUAGGCUAUAAAUAGGAUCUAUGUGCAAUGGUCAGGUCACUCUAAUGAAGAUGUCAGCUUGACGUUGAAAUGUCAGUCACCUGUUCGCAUCCUGUACAAUGCAAGCAAUAAGAAAUCAAUCUGUCUUUA